AGAGAGAGAGAGAGAGAGAACUCAAAUACCAACCCAUUCCAAUCCCAAAACUUCUACGAAGAUACCUUCCCUAUUUAUCAACUAUGCAGAUAUGACUUUCAGAUUUUUUGAGCUUUGUCUUGAUAUAGAAAUGUCAUUAAGUCCAUAUUUACAGUCUAUUACUGUCUAGAAAUCAUGUUGAACUGUCAAAGACAGACGACAAAAACAAGUGGAUUAAGCCAAGUGAAUUUAGAAUCCUCUUCCAAACCACAUAUAUCACUAAUUAUUAACCCUGAUCCAGUGCAUAGGCCAGAUAUAAGAUUAAGCACAAUGAAAAGAAAAUUUUACUAGUUAAUGUUUAUUCCAAUAACACAAUAUGAAAUAACCAGGCACAUAGAGAAGACUAAAAUCUAACCAUUUAGAAUAAUUUAGAUCAGUUUCAAUCAUUUGAAAACAAUGAAGCGAACAAAAGCAACCCUUUUAUACAAAUAAACUCCAAAUGUUAGCUUAUAAACACCAAAGUUGGAUACUGAAACAAAGGGUAAAGUCAAACCCACAAACGGUAGUGCUAGAAUCCAUAAACAUGAUAAGUACAAACCUUUGAGCGCUCACUGUGUUGGAAGCAUCGACACAACCACCACGUCCAGAAUCCCAAUCAGAGGGACUGCUUUGAAAUCCAC
rnacentral:misc_RNA from 1 species